UGGAGUUAUUUCUUAAAAGUAUCUUAUAACAAUUUUAUUUUUAAUCAGCCCCAACAUAUACACCUAUGGAUUAAGUAACAUUCCUAGAAGGCUUCAUUCUGCCUUUUAACUCAAUUUUGCUGUAUCUACUCAUUCAGUGCAUUCUCAGAUGUGACAGACAUUCAGAUGAACCCAUCAUGACUUCAAUGAAUACCAAAGCAAUUAAUAACUAUUAAACACUUAGAAAAUGUCAUUCUCCAUAUUUCAGUUAGAAAAGAAUUUCGGGCACCUAUUUUUACUUGAAGAUAGUCACAUUGCCCACAGAAAAUUUCAAGUGCAUCCUCAAAGUUUAGCAAUUAGCUGAGAUCAGAAGGCCAGGAGCAGAACAGACAGCGCUGGGCAUUUGGAGUUUGGGUUAUUUCACAGGAGGCAUGUUCCUUCCCAAGCUGUUUCUUUCCUAGAAUCAAGAUGAGAAUAAAUAUGCAAAAAAUCAUUUCCAUUUCUUUUUAAUAAGAGGGACAGGAGAGUUUUCUUUGUUGCUGUUGUCACAUUUGGUUAUGAAAACGUGGAGCAGGAACAGAUUGCAGGGCAAAUGGAGGCUCCAUUGCUCGAUUUCCUUUGUGACCACACUUCUUUAUAUGCAUAGACACUGAUGGUGGGGAAGGAAACAGGAGACAAUCAGAGCAGUUUCAUAUGUCCGUGGCCAUAUAAAAUACAGUAAGCCCUGUAGCAGGGGUGAAAAGAAGGUGAGGAUUUAAGCAUCCUCCAGGGAUAGUUUGUCAUUGAUUUAUGAUUAAACCUUCUCCAAAAAUCAAAUUGGACUGGUUUCCAGUUCGCAUGUUGCAGGCCCCACUGUAGUAGCAGCCUCAUUGGCUUCCAAAGGACAAAAGGCAACACAGCAGCACAAUGCAUCUAACCACAAGGCUACAGAAAUUAUUCCCCUUUUCUGCCAUCAUUAUGGACUAGAAGGACACGCAACUGCUGAACUUGUAACGAGAUUCAGUAGCUCUGAUAAAAGUGCAUUGUUUAGCAGUCACAGUCACUUUUUAUAGUCUUGAUGGCUUUUAGGGCUGCAUUACAGAGCAUCACAACGUGGCUUUCAAUGCAUGGGAUGGCUUCUCCUUCACUAAAGAGAAAGAUAGCUGAGCAAAAGACUAGCGUAGCUUCAUCCUGAUCACUUCUUGCGUGGUGGCCUUUAUAAAGAAGAGAACUAGGGUAGAGCAAAGUGUCAUUAAUCCACCAUAAUUGAGACAUCAGUUUGGUUGGCAGACAUGAAGAAACCUUAAGCAAAAGGGCAAAGCCACUCAAGAAAUGUUGGUUGUUAGUCUCCAGUAGCAGGCUGAUGGAGAAACCCUGAGGAGGCUCACAUCAGUCUGCUGCUAAGCGGCCUUCAGGGAGGCCUCCCAGCCUCUGAUCCUGCAGAGCACAGCACGGCUGGGGAUCAGUGUGAGUACCUUGCUCGGGUAUAACUGCCCCAGCUCUAUGCCUGGCUCCUGCUGCAUGACAGCUUUGUCCCCAGAGGUGCACAGGAUUCUGCUGGGUCUUCAGCAAAGGCUGCUGGAAGGAGGAGAAUUGACAUUUUGCUGAUUAUCUCGACUGCUUUGACAUCUCACUGGCAGUACAAAUGAUCACUUAUGUAAAGGUUAUUUCAAUGAAGGUAACAUCCCUUGGUGUGACUUAUCUGUGAAAGUGUUCCAGUUCCCUUCAGGUGUCCCUCUGGGAUUUCUAGUCUCCUAAGGAGUGCAUGUAUUUCUAAUUUGCCUGCAGGCUAAGAAAAAGUUGGAAUCUCAAGUCCACAGAGCUUGUCUGAGCUGGCAGAAAGCACUGAAACUGAGGCUUGUUGCAAAAGGCUUUGCAGAGCUACUAAUAAAACAUGAAAAAAAGGUGAGGAAAAUCUGGCUCAAAGAGCUCUUUUAACUAAAAGCAUCAAAACAGGGAUGGGAGCAGUCAGGAACUGUUGGGAUGGAUGCCUGUGCCGCCAGCAUCACUUGGCAAACAGAGGCCUUGUCCCAGCAGUGUUGGGCUGCUCAUCUGGGGCUUGCUUCCAUCCUAGCCCUGAGACUCUCAUCCCUCUCGAGAUGUGCAGAACAAGGAGACACAGCAUAUGGCUUGAUCUUUUGGUAAACUGGGUUUCGUCAAAUUAACAACACUUUGCUCAAAAAUCAGUGCAAGUCCUCCAUGGUCACAGCUCAGCUCCUCCCUUCCUGUGAGUGUAGUUUUCAGGAAAAUCAGGCGUGCAGCUUGAUAUAUCUUUGUUUAGGAUUUAUUGUCUUUAGGAACUCUUGGAUCAUGUUUGUAGGGUUUGUUUGGCAGAUUCCCUUAGAGGAGAGAGAGACAUGUUGGAUUGUUUUGUCUUUGUUGUUUGGGUUUUUUUUUAAAUGAACAUUGAACAUUUUUAGAUGGAACUAUUUACCUCAAGGAGAUGAAGCUUUAAGAGCCACCAAGGACUGCAAAGGGCUCAUGGUACUUCAACAGCAAAUCUGUGGAUCAGCCACGGCCUGGACACACUUACCCUCCUGUACUCCUGUUGUGGGGAAGCCCAGGGUGGGGAUGAGGCAGAGACAUUUGUGCAGAGUCCUUCUAGAAAGGGAAGGCCAACAUCCUGGUGCCCUACACCAACUGCGCUGUGCACUCUGCUGCUAGAUCUCUCAUUUGCAUGCCCAUAUAGGCAUUUUUUUCACUAACUGUAUACUUAACAAUCUCACUAAUGUACACAGACGUAUGUGAAAUUUCUUUACAUAUCUAUCAUGGAAAAAAGCAAGUAUAAUUUUAGAUAUUGGUUUUCCUCAUGUCUGAAAAAUGCACACAUACUUCACUGCACUGAUACUGUUAGAUCAUGAGAUAACAGGCCAAAAUGAAAUUACCUCAGGUUAGUGAAAAUGCCUUGCCUCUGUAGGUCAAUAAGCAGUUCAUUUUCUGAGUACUUGCCGUGAGCUCUGAAUUAGUCCAAUGCAAAAUGAUUCUGAAAAGAUCAAACCUGGGGAUUAAUCUCAGUGCUACUUCAUUGCACUGCAAUGUGGGAAUGGUGUUCAGAAGCACUGGAAACUUCAUCAUAUCUCAGUAGUUCCCUCGGUUAUCCACCUGUGAUAUACUGGAGCUAAGGGAAACAGCCCCCAGACACAGUAUUAGUAGAAGUGUGUUGACUACCUCGAUAAUUAUGCUCUGGUCCUAUGUCCAGGCUGGAGAGGGGUUGUGUAGAAAGAUAGGUCCAUGUUGUUGGCUUACAAAAUCUCCUAGGAAGUAGUACCAUUGUAAAAUCAUAUGAGGGGCAUGUAGUAGUUACCUGAACAGAUUUCUCAGUGCUCCUUUCUAAAGAAUUUAUGUCGUGAUAACAUGUUCUCAUCAAAUACACAGAAAAAAGCCUAUGUCCAUACAUUCCAUGCAACAUAGCUAAAAUUCUAAAAGUAAAAACCUAAAAGUAUUCUUCAGGAAUCUUCUCAUAUUAGGCCAUGCACCAGAAAUCCAUGAUAUACCUUAAAGAUAGUAAAACAUGACCUGAUCCUGUUGCACGGAGAAAUUUCCAUAGCUCUAGAGCUGAUGGCAGGAUUUCUAUCAGAGGGGCACGAAACAUCAGUUAACUUUCACAAGAGAAGAUCUCAACUGACACAGAAAAGCUGUAAUACAUUUGAGUCUGAGUGUAGGGGAGAGAAAAAGUGUUAUUUUCCCAUGUAUUUUGGUUGUGAAGUUUUGCUAAAGCUCUUUAUUUUAAAUAAAAAUGUGUACCAUAAGUACACUAAGAACAUUAGCUGAUGCCAAGCUAUAGUGGGCAUCUGGAAUUGCCUGUUGGAUUCAAAACUGCAAUAAAUUAGUAUACGAUGAUUUUUAUAACAAAUUCUGAAAUGCCAAGUUAAUUAUUAUUUAUUGGACACUUGUUAUACAGUAUUGCCUGUCAAUGUAUGACUCCAUCUGGUCUGAAACUGUUGCAGAUACACUGAAGCAAGAUUAUUUAAAAGAGUAGAAAGAGCUUCAUAACGUGUAAAGUGGAAGGAUGACAAAAUAGGAAAGAACAAAUAUUUCCAACUUUCAAUUUCAUUUGCUUGGUGUUUGGGUUCAGUGAAAUUCUUGUUAAGCCUCUCAGAGUCCUGUAAGGGGCCAUACCUCCAUGCAGAGAUGACUGCAUGAAGUUCCCACGAGGUGCAGACUGACUACUAACACGAGCUCUCACCAACACGUGGGGCCGUCUUCUAUUCUACAAGAGGAGUAUGCUGGCAAUGAGAGAAGAAAGGAUUUCUCUUGUAAUUGCCAAUUUUAAAAUAAUUUCUGUGCUGAGGAAAGUUGGGCAUCAGUAUCACCAUGAGGGAUACUAAAUGAACAAUGCAAGGUGAAGUGAAUUCAAAGCACUGGAAACCCAGACUAGAGGAGCCAUCUUCUCUAUAGUCAUUCCAGGCAGCACAUGUGCUGAAGCCACAUUUAAUGACCCUGCUUUGGCAGACUGUUCAUAAGAACUAGCCAUGCUGGUCAGAUUUAUAUCAAAAUGUCCCCAAAAUCAGUAUGCUUUGUCACCCCUCACUUUGCUUUUUUGCAGCUUUCUUGGUUUUUGUCAUAUUUCACCAUUUGCUCUCCAGGAAGAGCAGAAUGUUUCCUGUGCUGAAUAUGUUGGUUGACCUCCCACAAGGCAUCUCCAUCUCCUUCUAACUAGGCUUUUCAAAUGAAAAGUUGCAAAUUAAUUGCUGAAAAGGAAUUGAGCAUGCUUUGUGAUAUCAGUAUGAUAUUGGAAAUAAGUGACUUCACCGAUGUGACUAUUAGUCACUGUAAUCCCGCCAUGCAAGUGGGAUGUGAUGAGCUGGGCCAGCUUUGUACAAAUAUUGCUCAGACCCAGAGCUAUGAGUCUUCCCAGGAUCUGGAUCUAGAUCUUUUUUUCCUCAACUUGAAAAAUAAGACACUAGGUUUCUGUUGGAGCUCUCAAACCUCAUGGAGUCAAUGAGGAUGAUUCCUUCGUCUUUUGGGUUUCACUCUGAUUUGGUUUUGAUGAUACAUUUGCAGUCUCCUGUUAGAAAGGAUUUUACUUGAGUACACAUCUGUCUAUCGACAGCCAGCUAAUCACAGCCAUUUGAAAUCUUUGGGCCAGAAAUUCCAUUGAUGUCAUUUCAGUCGACAUGUACUGAUUUACCGAAGACAGCUGAGGAUGUGGCAAGAUACACAGACCUGUCUUGCAACCUCUAUUACCUAUGAACUGUUUGACUGAUCAGUUUCUACUCAAUGACCAGUUAUUUUCUUCUCCUGGACCACAGUAAACUUGUAGGUUCUUUUCUCCUUGCUUAUUUUUCCCUCUUCCUUCUUAAGCACCAGUGGCUUUUGAGGUUUUUGUCUUUCUGUUUGUGUGUGAUGUGUUUUCUGAAGCUUCCUCUUAAUUCCCUUUUUGAGUCAUUUCUUUCUGCUUCCUGCAAAAAACAUUUUGCUUUUAUUACUAGGCAACAUCUGACCGUCUUUCCUAUCCUUCUUGGUUUUCACCGUACUCCCUGGCAGAGUUGAUGCUAUAAGUCAUAGAAAAAAACAGAUGUCUCACUUGCCAAUCAAUUUUCCACUUUCCUUCUGUUGUCCAACCAAAAAGGUUAAUUCUCAUUCAAUCUCCAGUUGCAGGCAACUCUAAAGAGGAGUGUCAUACUUGCCACAGUAUUCCUCCUCUACUAAAACUGUUUUUAAAUAAAAUGGUGCAAUUUUGGUCCUGACAUUACACAAGUGAGUGCUCUCUCUAAAGAAUUUUCUGGAUUAUACUCCAGAAUUGCUUUUAUUUUGCUCUGAACAAAACAAAUUGCUUUCUUGCCAACCUCCAGCUGUCUUAGAACAAAAUCACAGCAAUUAUCAAGUAAGACUGACAUUCUGUGACUCAGUUGCCGCUUGACUGCAGGAUCCCUCUAGCGCAUAGCUGCUUUUUACCUUCCUUUGGGUAGCACUUCUGGCAGUAAUCACUCCAUCCAUCAAUGAGUUCUGCUCACCCAGAGCAGCCUCCCAUCACUGCCAAUAGUCACGAUCUUACUAAGCAUAGAUGUUUCUGGUGUUUUAUGAGAGUAACAGGUGCUUCAUUUUGGCCUACAGUAUUUCCACCAGCAGAGGAAUUCUGGGCAGAAGAACUUAAUGGGGAAAAACACAGAGAGGGCUCAGGGAAAUGUAAGGUCUCCUGAAUGCCCAUUGAGGCACAGCCUGGCCCUUUCCCAGAACAAAACAUCCUCUUCCAUCUUUCUGCACAGCUCUUAUGCCACAGGCUGAUCAGGAAGCUGGAUGUGCACAGCCGAUCUCAGUAAACCCAGUGAAGCAGGUAGUCAAAGCAGCACAAAUUAUGCUGUUGCUGGUGGUUUCCUGACAACAGGGCUAACAUUUUUUGUCAGUGUUUCAGUUGCACAUGGCUUCCUGGGCUGCCCUGAGCACCUGCAAUCACCUUUACCCCACAGCAGGCAUGGGCCCCAAGUGGCAGCUUGAACUGGCUUACGGCUUGAGGAUAGGACAACAGAUUCCAGGGAAAGAUCCAGACUUUCAGCAGAUGCAGUUACUGAGUAAUAUCUAUUCUAGAGAGUAUCGUGCAAGAAUCCUGGUUUUGUGCUAGAAGUAACUGUCUGUUUUUAUGUAUGUAUUUUUUAUCCAAAUCCUUGGCACCCAGGGACUGGAUUCAUAUUCCAGAGAACUAGCAGCGAAGGCAGAAUUUAGCAGUUUGCUCUCAACGAGCAAACUAUGGUUGUGUUGAUUUCUUGUUUAUUUUACUUCUGUGUUAAAAUGUGGUGCUUAAGAACAGCAUUUUAAUUGUAAAUGAAAGAAACAUAGCCUUCUUGCUUCAGCGGGGUGAACGCCUACCUUCCAGGCUUGGUUCUUAGCGACUGGCUGUGAGGAAUAGAUUCUUUUCCUCUUUCCUCAGAACCCCUCAGGAGGAUGAGGAGCAGAGGGGAGCUCAGAGGCAUCCCAGAUCCCCUCAGGAAGAUGGGAAGCAGAGCACCAACAGGCUCGGACGUGGCUAGGGUGGGCUUAUUGUGUGGUGGUUAGGCCGUGAGCUGGCUCUGAUGUUGGGGGAGGCUCCCUGGCACUGACAGCUUUCAUGCGUGGAUAGAGAGCAGGCUGGAAGGGUUUCCUGCAGUGCGGGAUCCUGCAGUGGUUCCUUGAAGCUGUGGGUUGUAAAGGAAUCAUUAAGCAUGAGCUCAGGGUCACCAUCCUGAUGUAUAGUUUCUCAGUAACUUGUUUUCCCUCGCAGGUGCUCAGGCUCUCGAAACUCUACAUUUGUUGCCAUAGUGAGAGGACCCAGCUCAGACAGCAAAGGCUCACUUUUUUUUGACAGAAGUCCAAAUUAAAAAUAAGGAGAAUCCUCUUUUGACUUCAGUGUUUGUCUCUUACCCAGGGAAAAUUCAUACUCUUAGAAAGAAAUAUGCUGUACAUGGCGUGCCCUGGGGAGCUGCAUUCAGGACUAGAGCCACUGGGACAUGGCAAAGAGACAAGGAAUGCAGAGAGAAGAUGUAGAAAUGUGGAAAGUGGGGUUAGUUUGCCUACUGGCUGAGAAGGACUUACUACCUGAAAAGACUCAGAUGUAAGGCUUUGCUCAUCUCUGUUAAAUGACCAUCCUCAUUUCUGACAGUGCCAUAAAGAGAAGCCCUUCAAUGUAAUCGACUCAAGCAAGAGUUAAGCUUAAAAGAAAUGAGGGAAGUGAAUGAGAAUGUUCUUCCUUCAGAGACUGAGAUGCUGGCAAUGCUCUCUUCCGUGCCAUGGGCAGAUCAAGAAGUGACACAACUGUCAUGUCCAACUAGACAUGCAGGGAGAGCACAUUUAAACAUGACCUUCACUACUGCAUAGAAGUAGAAGAAAAGUAUCAACCCUCAGCCAUCUCAUUCCUUCACAACUUUGCCAUUACUCAGACGUGAAAGCAGAGGACCUUACAAAUCCAGAGAGUGGGACAUUAAACUCGAUCUACAAAUUUGGAACCUCCUCCUGAACUUAUGAUCCCUCAUGGUAAAAAAAAAAAAAAAAAUGUGUUUAAUGAUAAAGGAAGCAGGAAUAGUCUGAUUUCAUGGACUGGCAAAAGUGCAGAACAUGCUCUGGAGGCCACCCUGGCGAUUACCAACUCUCUGUGACCUAAUGUCAGUCACUUGAAAAAGUUUGUCUUGGCUACCACAGCUGAAAGCAAGACUUAUUAGAACACCAGAUAUCAUGUUAGAUUUGAGCUCUCUGGAUCAACAUAUCUCCCAUAGCUGACAGAAGUUUUUCUUUAUGAAAUUGAAGCAUAUUCCCUGACUUUACUAAUCAGCUAAGUUUCCAUAUGUGGUGUGAUUUUUUCAUUAACCAGAUUUGUUCCUUCACUCUCAGAAGUUCAAUAAAAUACCAAUUUCAAGGCUUUACCAGACUAUUAAUUCUUAUUUUCCAAAAGUCACUUACAAAAAAUUUUGGUUUUGAAAAUAUUGCCUUUCUGUGAGCAAUCUCAGCAAUCUUCUGAAGUAAUGAUAUCUCAAAAUACUUAUAGAGAACAAUAUUUACAAUUCAUUACAGAAACAAAUGAUCCUUUUAGUGGAAAAUGGAUGACUACUUAUGUGGCUCCCUUCUUUAUCAGUGAUAUAUUUAAAAAAUUAAGCAGAACAAAAAUGUGGUUGCAGCAAAGAUGAAUCUUUCGGUAUUUAAUUUUUCCUUCUUUUGUGUAAACAGCAUAUUUGCAUGUUUAAUAUAUGAAAUAUGUUAUGAGUAUGGAAAAAUGAAUCCAUUGGUUGAACUUGCAUUUUCUGCUAGUAAAUGGGUUAAUGUUAUUACAUAGACAAUAUUCCAUGCUUGUACCUUUCCUCGUUAUGUAUGACAUCAUUCUUCUUGCACCAGAAUAUAGUAUAGAACCAAAUCAGAAUAUCAUGGAGGAAGAACUGGGUGAUCAGGGGACUAAAAUAGAUUAGAUCGUAGAAUAUUGAAUGAAAGGUAAUUGCACUUAAGGGAGGGUAAUGAGACACUUUGAAGUGAACUGGGAAUUCUUUGGUUUGAAAUGAGAAAAGAGAAGAAAGACUUGGAUGUGCUAGCCAAUGAUAGAGUGGCUGCCAGCAAUAAUUAUGAUAAAAUUGUGAAAAAAAAAUGUGAUACUAAUGUAGCAUCUGAAACAUUUCAGAAAAUAAAAAGUAUAAAUGUCAUUGUACAAUGCAGCUUAUCGCAUAUAGCUCUGGGUAUCUAUGUUCUAAAAAGAUGAAUUCAAAUUAGAAUUGGUGCAGAGUGAGGAUGAGCAAGAGGGAUGGAGAUUAAAACAUUUGGUUGAUACUGGGAAAGCAUGUGAUUUUGCUCUAUAAAUGCAUAAAGAACAUAUGUAGUCAGAAUAGGACAGACCUAAUAAGUAAAAGAACCAAGAAAGCACAGAACAAAAAAAAUUCAUAUAUUAGGGUGGAAAUUAGCAAAAAAUGUUUCUAACUGUUGAAGUGGUGAGAUGCUGGAACACCAUCACCAAAGAGGUGAUGGAAGGCAGAGUUCGGUGAGUAUGUAGUACAGCUGUCUAAAUUUGCGGAAUAAGGGACCCAAGAGUUUCUUUUCUGUUGCAAUUCUUAAACUGUUUUCCCACACUUUGCUAUACAAACAAGCUAAGGGGAGGCACGAAAGAUUUACAAAUAAAUAAGGACCUUGAACUGACAGUCAAAUUCUACUCAAGUCAUCUGUGUUUUGGCACAACAAAUUGCCAUGGCCAAAUGACCACGUUCAUGGCCAUUGCAACUGCUUUUCUUCAGAGAAAGUACACAGAGCCACUGUCUGACACCAGGAAGUAAACUGUGAAUCACUGUCUUCCAGUUAAAUGUCACAACGACUCAGUAUCUCAGGCGGGGACUUGUAUCAGGUAUCCUUGGUUGUGGCCCAGCACCAGCAGCCUGUGCAGCAAAAAUAGAUGUGGGGUCCUCCCUCAGUUGCACAGACCAAACUGCUGCAAAUGCAACGUUCUGUUGUUAAUGUAACAAAUGACAAAUUCAGAAUGUGCUCAACUGUUAGCCUGUUCCAGAAAUUUUCUCAUCUAGGCAGCAAGUUUCAUCUCUGCAACAAUUUCAAUUUAAGCAAUACAGAGUCUGGACAGAAUAAUCCUAGAAAAUUAUUCAUUUCUAUUAAAAUUUUUUACUUUAAAUAUUUGUGCUGUUGACU